rnacentral:tRNA from 1 species
UCCGGCGUGGUCUAGUGGCUAGGAACCUGGCUCUCACCCAGGAGGCCCGGGUUCGAUACCCGGCGUCGGAA